rnacentral:rRNA from 1 species
GACGAACGCUGGCGGCGUGCUUAACACAUGCAAGUCGAACGCUGAAGCCCUUCGGGGUGGAUGAGUGGCGAACGGGUGAGUAACACGUGGGUAAUCUGCCCUGCACUCUGGGAUAAGCCUUGGAAACGGGGUCUAAUACCGGAUAGGACACAUCGCCGCAUGGUGUGUGUGUGGAAAGUUCCGGCGGUGCAGGUUGAGCCCGCGGCCUAUCAGCUUGUUGGUGGGGUGAUGGCCUACCAAGGCGACGACGGGUAGCCGGCCUGAGAGGGUGACCGGCCACACUGGGACUGAGACACGGCCCAGACUCCUACGAGAGGCAGCAGUGGGGAAUCGUGCGCAAUGGGCGAAAGCCUGACGCAGCAACGCCGCGUGGGGGAUGACGGCCUUCGGGUUGUAAACCUCUUUCGACCGGGACGAAGGAUUCGUUUGACGGUACCGGUAGAAGAAGCACCGGCUAACUACGUGCCAGCCGCCGCCGUAAUAC